rnacentral:rRNA from 1 species
CCUACGGGGUGCUGCAGUGGGGGAUAUUGCACAAUGGGGGGAACCCUGAUGCAGCGACGCCGCGUGGGUGUAGAAGCGCCUCGGCGCGUAAAGCCCUGUCAGCAGGGAAGAAAAUGACGGUACCUGAAGAAGAAGCCCCGGCUAACUACGUCCCAGCAGCCGCGGUAAUCCGUAGGGGGCAAGCGUUCUCCGGAGUUACGGGGUGUAAAGGGGGCGCAGACGGCGAUGCAAGCCAGGAGUGAAAGCCCGGGGCCCAAGCCAGGGACUGCUCUUGGAACUGCGUGGCUGGAGUGCAGGAGGGGCAGGAGGAAUUUCUGGUGUAGCGGUGAAAUGCGUAGAUAUCAGGAGGAACACCGGUGGCGAAGGCGGCCUGCUGGACUGCAACUGACGUUGAGGCCCGAAAGCGUGGGGAGCAAACAGGAUUAGAUACCCGGGUAGUC